rnacentral:lncRNA from 1 species
CCCACCUACAUAUUUAUACCAAAACAGCCCAAAGAUUUGCCAGCACAAUAUUUUUCAACAUAUACAUUAAACUACUUCAAAAUAAACUUCAUCCAACUUCAAAAUAAACUUCAAACAACUUCAAAAUAAACUAAAAUACGAUCAAACAAUUCCAAAAAUAUAAAAAUCUAAAAUGUCAAAUUAAUACAACUACUCCUCAUCACCCUCCUGAGAAUUAUCAUUCGCAUCACCCUCCCUCUCCUUAUCAAGCUUAUCAUUCUCAUCACCCUCUUGAUCAGAUCCAUCAUUGCUGGCCGGACAUGGAGGAAGAAUUUUUCCAGAUCCACAAAGAAAAGUUAGUUGGGCUUGAAGCAUCACAUACCUCUUAUUUCAAAUAAUGAAUCAAACUAGCUAGGGACUAAUUAAACUUUAUUUAAACUUAUUUC